UAGGGAAUCUUCGGCAAUGGACGAAAGUCUGACCGAGCAACGCCGCGUGAGUGAAGAAGGUUUUCGGAUCGUAAAACUCUGUUGUUAGAGAAGAACAAGGACGUUAGUAACUGAACGUCCCCUGACGGUAUCUAACCAGAAAGCCACGGCUAACUACGUGCCAGCAGCCGCGGUAAUACGUAGGUGGCAAGCGUUGUCCGGAUUUAUUGGGCGUAAAGCGAGCGCAGGCGGUUUCUUAAGUCUGAUGUGAAAGCCCCCGGCUCAACCGGGGAGGGUCAUUGGAAACUGGGAGACUUGAGUGCAGAAGAGGAGAGUGGAAUUCCAUGUGUAGCAGUGAAAUACGUAGAUAUAUGGAGGAACACCAGUGGCGAAGGCGGCUCUCUGGUCUGUAACUGACGCUGAGGCUCGAAAGCGUGGGGAGCAAACAGG
rnacentral:rRNA from 1 species